UACGUAGGGGGCAAGCGUUGUCCGGAAUCAUUGGGCGUAAAGCGCGUGUAGGCGGCUCGGUAAGUCUGUUCUGAAAGUCCAAGGCUCAACCUUGGGAUGCGGAUGGAUACUGCCGAGCUCGAGUCCGGAAGAGGCGAGUGGAAUUCCUGGUGUAGCGGUGAAAUGCGCAGAUAUCAGGAGGAACACCGGCGGCGAAGGCGGCACUCUGGGCCGGUACUGACGCUGAGGAGCGAAAGCGUGGGUAGCAAACAGG
rnacentral:rRNA from 1 species